AACCUGGUCAGGCCCGGAAGGGAGCAGCCA
rfam:Pseudomonas putida W619, complete genome.